rnacentral:rRNA from 1 species
GAUGAACGCUGGCGGCGUGCCUAAUACAUGCAAGUCGAGCGAACGGACGAGAAGCUUGCUUCUCUGAUGUUAGCGGCGGACGGGUGAGUAACACGUGGAUAACCUACCUAUAAGACUGGGAUAACUUCGGGAAACCGGAGCUAAUACCGGAUAAUAUUUUGAACCGCAUGGUUCAAAAGUGAAAGACGGUCUUGCUGUCACUUAUAGAUGGAUCCGCGCUGCAUUAGCUAGUUGGUAAGGUAACGGCUUACCAAGGCAACGAUGCAUAGCCGACCUGAGAGGGUGAUCGGCCACACUGGAACUGAGCCACGGUCCAGACUCCUACGGGAGGCAGCAGUAGGGAAUCUUCCGCAAUGGGCGAAAGCCUGACGGAGCAACGCCGCGUGAGUGAUGAAGGUCUUCGGAUCGUAAAACUCUGAUAUUAGGGAAGAACAUAUGUGUAAGUAACUGUGCACAUCUUGACGGUACCUAAUCAGAAAGCCACGGCUAACUACGUG